GACGAACGCUGGCGGCGUGCUUAACACAUGCAAGUCGAACGCUGAAGCUCAGCUUUUGUUGGGUGGAUGAGUGGCGAACGGGUGAGUAACACGUGAGUAACCUGCCCCCUUCUUUGGGAUAACGCCCGGAAACGGGUGCUAAUACUGGGUAUUCACUGGUCUUCGCAUGGGGGUUGGUGGAAAGGGUUUUUCUGGUGGGGGAUGGGCUCGCGGCCUAUCAGCUUGUUGGUGGGGUGAUGGCCUACCAAGGCUUUGACGGGUAGCCGGCCUGAGAGGGUGACCGGUCACAUUGGGACUGAGAUACGGCCCAGACUCCUACGGGAGGCAGCAGUGGGGAAUAUUGCACAAUGGGCGCAAGCCUGAUGCAGCGACGCCGCGUGAGGGAUGGAGGCCUUCGGGUUGUGAACCUCUUUCGCUCAUGGUCAAGCCGCAACAAUGGUUGUGGUGAGGGUAGUGGGUAAAGAAGCGCCGGCUAACUACGUG
rnacentral:rRNA from 1 species